rnacentral:lncRNA from 1 species
AAAAGUGCAUCCAUAUCCUCCUCCUCACUGCCCGCCGAGCAGGGGGACGGGGAGCCCAGGCCCGACGCCAUCCCCUUCCGCUCCCGGCCAGGGAAUUGGCCCAGCUGCUCCUGCCGGCGGCCUGAGGACCUCUACACUGGCCCGAGUCACUGUGCGGGGGAGGGGGGAGAAACACAGAACAGUCAGUGACGCGCACUGUCCCCCUCCCCCACACCCACCCGCUCUUUCCGCCCCCCACCCCAGCCACCCUAGCAGGGCACCCGAACCGCUCAGGCUGAACUUAGUUCCACACUCCUCGGGGGCAGCCCGGAAGCCGGCUCCCCGGCAGGCGCCCCCACGGAGCGAGGGAGCGACGCCUCCGAGGAGUACCUAGCAAGGCCGAGCUCCGCACCAUGGAGAAUCAAGGAAGACCAGGGGGCCUCCCUUCAAAAAGCAUAAGCAACCAAGCAAACUAUGAUACACGACAGAAUGGUGCCAAGGGAGAACUGCUGAGCACUGUUUCCCAAUUUCCUGUUACAGAAAAUAAAAUCCCACUGGUUCCAAGAGAGAACAUAUCCCAAUAAGAUUUAUCGUGGUCCUUCUAGAGGCUGGAAGAUGAUACUUAAAGGAUUUAUGGGUAUAGACCAUAGUCAACAUGAUCUCCUAUCUGUUCCCUACUUACUAGGGGAUUUUUCUUGGAAAGCAAUGUUCAUCCAUCCAGCAUUCCUAAUACUGAAAUCCUAUAAUAUGUUCAUGUCCUUCCUUCUUAAGAGACUCCACAAUAUACCAGCAUUGUUUCCCUCAUUCUUGAACACCAAAUCCUGCUUAUCCUCAAUGUCCCAUAUUUUUCAGGCACUUUCCCAUUUUAUAUCCUGAAGUCUCAUAGUAUCUCCAAUGGCCUCCAUCCUCAUCUUGUUGGGGCCACAUUCUCCACCUCAAAAAAAAAAAAAUCUUUAGUUGUAUAAUGUUCCCCAUCUUCCCCUGCCUGUAUAGAAGUCAAUAUUCCAGCGGGGCAUGGUGGCUCAUGCCUGUAAUCCCAGCACUUUGGGAGGCC